AGCCUAAGUCCUUAUUGGGAUAUGGCAUAAAAAACCGUGCAAGAUAGAGAGCCCAUCGUUUGGGAACACCUUGCACGGUCAUAUGCCGAAAGGCGUAUGGGUGGCGAAAGCCAUC
rnacentral:sRNA from 1 species